rnacentral:lncRNA from 1 species
AUGUGCUGGCUGCGGGCAUGGGGCCAGAUCCUCCUGCCAGUUUUCCUCUCCCUCUUUCUCAUCCAAUUGCUUAUCAGCUUCUCAGAGAAUGGUUUUAUCCACAGCCCCAGGAACAAUCAGAAACCAAGAGAUGGGAAUGAAGAGGAAUGUGCUGUAAAGAAGAGUUGUCAAUUGUGCACAGAAGAUAAGAAAUGUGUUUGGUGUAGUGAAGAAAAAGCAUGCAAAAAAUACUGUUUUCCCUAUUUCGGUUGUCGAUUCAGUUCUAUAUAUUGGUUAAACUGUAAAGUUGACAUGUUUGGAAUCAUGAUGCUUCUACUCAUUGCAGUAUUAAUUACAGGAUUCGUUUGGUACUGCUGCGCCUAUCACUUUUACCUGCAGGA